rnacentral:rRNA from 1 species
CUUAGUGGCGGACGGGUGAGUAACGCGUGAGCAAUCUGCCCUUCGGAGGGGGACAACAGCUGGAAACGGCUGCUAAUACCGCAUAACGUAUAUUAAUGGCAUCAUUGAUAUACCAAAGAUUUAUCGCCGAAGGAUGAGCUCGCGUCUGAUUAGCUAGUUGGUAGGGUAAUGGCCUACCAAGGCUGCGAUCAGUAGCCGGACUGAGAGGUUGAACGGCCACAUUGGGACUGAGAUACGGCCCAGACUCCUACGGGAGGCAGCAGUGGGGAAUAUUGGGCAAUGGGCGAAAGCCUGACCCAGCAACGCCGCGUGAAGGAAGAAGGCUUUCGGGUUGUAAACUUCUUUGACGAGGGAAGAAAGAAAUGACGGUACCUCGAAAACAAGCCACGGCUAACUACGUGCCAGCAGCCGCGGUAAUAC